rnacentral:lncRNA from 1 species
UGAGGAUCCCUUGAUUUGAUACAAUGGCAGUGUUAUGUAUUAGUAGCAUGAACAGGAAGCAGCUGGCGUCCUGUUCAGAAAACAAUUUCAUUUUUUAUUGCGGAGAGCAAUAUUGAAAAACACUGUGUGUGCAUGAGGGGCCUAAUCCUUAAAAAUGUGAGAGCUGAGAUACUCUCCCAUUUCAUUGACCAGUCACUUCUGAACUAUUGUUCUUGAUUUGCCUCUUUUCACAGAAAGCUGUUCUGGUGUCAGUCCUUCAGAAUACAGAGAAAAAUAGCUCAAGCCCUGGAAUGGCUAUUUUGCACCUGUCUGCCACCUCAGCUGUCUGCUCCUGCCUGCCAUAGGAAGACAUGUACUGUCUUACUAGCAAAGUAUUUGUGCUAGAAUAUGGAUUUAAUAACAAGGCCCCAGAAACCUGAAAUAAUGAUACGACUGUAUGCUGUGCAGCUGAUGGAUCUUUUCUGUGUAAGAUGUCUUGCUUCCUCCAUACGAAGUAAAUGGUUUCUACGGAUGUGUAUAUUAAAGUUCUCAAGCUGCACUCUGAUAGCUGAAGUGAUUUAGAUAAAUAAAAGGCUAUGACACCUGUGGAGCUGGGGAGCC